GACGACCGCCCUCGUGAAAAAGAACCAUACCACGACCCCCUCACACGAAGAAAAAAACUAACGAUCUCCCCCGCGCCUGGGAACUCGAUCUGGAUCUCGGCGGCGGCUCCUCUCUCUCUCUCGCUCUCCGCGCAUCGACGCAUCCCCCGGAGCACUCCCCACCUCCUCCCUUUUCAGCGCCCACAUCGCGACCCCUGUGGCUACUCCGUUGAGGCGUCGGCUUGACGGAGAUGAAGAAGAUAGCCAGGUGAUGCGGUACUCGGGAGGUGGAAUUGGCGACGAAGGUGGCUCCAUCGAAGAGGGACGAUGUGCUUCGGUGGUCAACGGCGGCUGCGCGGGAUGCCGUAUGGUAUGGAUCGGGCAUCUCGAGGAUGGGCUCUCUUCGCAAGUCCUCCUACACGCCACGGAGGUGUUUGAGGAGUCUGUCCCGGGGCUGCGUGUGAAGCACGUCGACGUCUCCAUCUUGGCAUUGCUCAACACCGCCCUGCCGGCUGGGGUCUUUAUUUUCCAUAGAGGCCUUCCGCAACAGGGUCCAUGAUGCCUGAUUGUUUCCUCUUCGGCUGGAUCGGGUCCAACCACACAAUUAUUGUACUACUCUCUUGAGUGGCAAAUAUUUACUGAGAUGGGAUAAUAGUGCAGGUUGAUGUGUGUAGCACGUGUUAACAAAAUCUCAAUUAUCUGCAUGGUAUAUAUAUCUCUAAUCAUUGUCUUUUCCAGAAUGAAGAGAAGGUAUGAGAAAGAUAAUACUAAUAUUCCCUAUACAUCUGACAUUUAACUUUUAUGAGAUUCUUGGAUUCCUCAAAAUCAUGUCUAUUAGUGUUUCUUCAAUAUAUAUAUGCAUGAUCUUUCCUUUUGAAAUUCUCAUUAUGUACAUGAUUUUUGCUACUGCUGGCCUUGAAUUGGCACUGAUUUGGGCCACCUUGUUGAAUGAUUCGUGCACGCAUGUGUUUCGUUGGUCUUUUGCGAUAUGUGGGGAGCGUAAACUGGAAGAACGUGUGCAGCAGGCAUCGCUGCUGCGCUGGACGACGUUGUGUGAGGCCAUGGCCAUGGACGAUGUGCUGUUGGAGAACGGCGUAGGACUAAGGUAGUCGAUGUGAACGACCACUAGGUAUGUAAUGGUUUAGUCCUCCUGAAUUUGCACUCUGUUUUUUAGUCCUCUGUAGUGUUGUUCAAUUUGGGCAGGGCUUACAUUCUCUCAUAGGAUCAGACCAAACAAGGUCUUAUAAGCUUUGCCAUUGUUUUGUUCAUAACAUAAAAACAGCCAUUAUCGAGGAAAGAGUCAUUCUCACAUAGCGAUUUGUUUGCCUCGUUGCAGAAUUCCAAUUGCUUUUGGAUUCGUAUGAUGCAGCCUACAUGUUCCCAUCACCCAGUAAAAUAUAGACAUCAAUUAUUGCAUCUGGGUUUAUAUUAUGCAUCCCCGCUCGCAGUUUCAUUGUUGAGUAGGAAUGAAGAUUAUAUUUAUAAAUGAUAUAUGUAUGUAAUUGUGUGCUGCAUUCUUGCUGCUUCCAGUAGAUGUACUAUCUUUUCAGCGUUGACUUUUAAAGCGUUUUUGCUGACAAGAGGCUUAUCGGUUGUAAUGUUCAGCACCUACAUUACCUGAUGGUCAUGUAGUGCUAGGGAUUAGCGAUUAAAGAAACAUCGAGCAUAUUAAUGUGGGAAAUAGAUAUACAAUAUGUUAUAAAGGAUAAGACAAGUAAUUAUUGGGUGUGAAAGGUCAGGAUGGAAUCAUUUUUUUUGCUAUCAUAUGAAUUAUUGAAUACAAUCUGGUAUGCAACCCCUCAAAAUUAGAUUUAAUUCAUGCUCGUACACCAUCACUUAAAUAGGAAAAGAGAAGUAUUUCUAAGGCUACUCUAUAUCUUGUUUUUCUUUCACAGCAUAUACAUUAUUAGUUAUAUGUUUGCCUGGGUAGGAAAGUAACAAUCAAUCCCUCAAAAUAAAAGGAAACUAAUGAUCAAGACCUUAGCUGGCUGAUGGUAACUCCAUUCAUUCUCUUCCUAUUAUUAUUAUUUUAGUUAUUUUUCUAUUCUCAUCGGUAGGUUUCUUCUGUGUUGUUUUGCUUUAGUUUCGUAGUUGUCACUCCCGUGUAUUUCUUUGAUGAGGAGGUGUGGACACGAGGCCUAACUAUCUGGUAUAAAUUGGUUUUCCCACUAUCGCUGUGAGAUUGGAUUGUUGUUCCCUUUUCUGCACAUGAUUGUUCCACUUGUGAUUUAUCAUAUAUGAAUUGCUACUUGACAUCCUCUUGUUGACUGCUGGUUGUGUUUGUUCUCUUGCCAAAGGCCGGGACUUUGAGUUGCCUGCAAUGGUGGAGCUCGGGAUGUUGGCAGAUCUGACCGGACUGGUGAGCACUCUGCCCACACCUGCCGAGGUCACCCUGCUCUGUGCCAUGCUCGGUAACUCACCCUCGCUGAUGGUAAUGUUAUGCACAAAAUGCUGAUGAAGUUGUGUACUGAUUCAAUGAACUGAAUUUUAAUGAGCUGAUGGUGAUGAUAUAUUUUUUGUGAACUAAAAAAGUGUAUCCCCAUAUUGGUGCUUUUAGGAAAUGGCGAAUUUACGUAUCCUUAUCAACCUUAUACUAAUACAUGUAUCUGUAUCGGUGCAUUCUUGGAUUUCAUGUAUAAGCCGCUCAAGAGAAAUUUAAAUAAGGUUGUUAUGUUUCAGCAUACUAUACAUACUUUCCCCUAGACAAUGCUGCAAUACUGUCAUGUGAUAACUAGUACUGAUAUAAGGACCCUUAUCUUCAGUGCCAUUUAGAGUAACAGUCUACAAUGCCACAACACUUUGUUGGACCUGUUUUUGGCGUUUCUUCUGCCAGGUAUCUCUAUGAUUUAAGUAGAUAGAAGUUAUUAAUUACACGUUCAUUGUGGUCGAUCGACUGUCUCUCUUCUACAAUUGGAAAUCUGUUAUGUUCUGAUGAGAUGCUAUCGUAUGACUAAUAUGUAACUGGUGAGGUUUUAUGUCUCAUAGUUAAACUUUGUUUCAUAUUUUGAACUGGUUAUUGAACAUUUUUGUUUCCAUGACAGUAGAUCUAUAUCGGGAUUUAUAGCAUAUGCUCUAUGUGCAGCCAUGGGCGGAUCCAGCCCAGCGCCCCGGGCCCCCUUUGUAUACUGUAGCAGUUGCUACAAUAUUUUCCCUACAGCCCACAAAGAAAAUGGGCCUCACGCCCCGGGCCUGGGGCCUAGAUCCGCCAUUGUGUGCAGCUGAUGAGUCUUUCAAGGAUGCAAAUUGUGUGCCUUCGGAAAAUCAGAAUUAGGAAAGAAUGGGAUUUAUAGCAUAUAUGCUCUAUGUGCAGCUGAUGAAGCUUUGAGAGAUGAAAAUUGGUUGCCUUCGGAAAAUAAGAAGGAAAGAACGGUACCAAUUGCUUUUAGUGGAAGCUCUUUUCCUUUUUUGUAUUUUUGCCGAGUCGCUGAAUCUAAUUAGAGCUUUUAUCAGGGUGUUUCAAUUGGUGGGGGAAUCGGAAGCAUCUCAGACAUUUUUAAAUGCAUGACUGCUGAUUGCUGAAAAUGUUCAUACCCACAGUCAUUGCAAUUUUUUUUAUUCUCAUUCUUUUGAGAGAAUUCCUUAUUUGACACUACCUUAAAAUGUGGUUCCCUAUU